rnacentral:rRNA from 1 species
CCCCAGACUCCUACGGGAGGCAGCAGUGGGGGAUAUUGCACAAUGGGGGGAACCCUGAUGCAGCGACGCCGCGUGGGUGAAGAAGCGCCUCGGCGCGUAAAGCCCUGUCAGCAGGGAAGAAAAUGACGGUACCUGAAGAAGAAGCCCCGGCUAACUACGUGCCAGCAGCCGCGGUAAUACGUAGGGGGCAAGCGUUAUCCGGAUUUACUGGGUGUAAAGGGCGUGUAGGCGGGCCUGCAAGUCAGAAGUGAAAUCUGGGGGCUUAACCCCCAAACUGCUUUUGAAACUGUGGGUCUUGAGUGAUGGAGAGGCAGGCGGAAUUCCCAGUGUAGCGGUGAAAUGCGUAGAUAUUGGGAGGAACACCAGUGGCGAAGGCGGCUUUCUGGACUGUAACUGACACUGAGGUACGAAAGCGUGGGGAGCAAACAGGAUUAGAUACCCGGGUAC